rnacentral:rRNA from 1 species
AUUGAACGCUGGCGGCAUGCCUUACACAUGCAAGUCGAACGGCAGCGGACCUUCGGGUGCCGGCGAGUGGCGAACGGGUGAGUAAUAUAUCGGAACGUACCUUUCAGUGGGGGAUAACGUAGCGAAAGUUACGCUAAUACCGCAUAUUCUGUGAGCAGGAAAGCAGGGGAUCGCAAGACCUUGCGCUGAUUGAGCGGCCGAUAUCAGAUUAGCUAGUUGGUGAGGUAAAGGCCUACCAAGGCUACGAUCUGUAGCGGGUCUGAGAGGAUGAUCCGCCACACUGGAACUGAGACACGGUCCAGACUCCUACGGGAGGCAGCAGUGGGGAAUUUUGGACAAUGGGCGCAAGCCUGACGCAGCGACGCCGCGUGAGUGAUGAAGGCCUCGG